UGGCCAUGACUCAGUGUCCUCUCCUGU
rnacentral:piRNA from 1 species